GCCGGGAGUGGUGGCUCACACCUGUAGUCCUAGAACUUUGGGAGGCUGAGGCAGGUGGAUCACCUGAGGUCAGGAGUUCAAGAACAGCCUGACCAACAUGGUGAAAUCCUGUCUCUA
ensembl:misc_RNA Metazoa_SRP Metazoan signal recognition particle RNA